AAUAAUGUAUCUCUAAGGGUAAGAGAGGUAGAUUUAAGCUUUACAGAUAGUCGUUUAGACUCAUUAUUG
rnacentral:tRNA from 1 species